UCUUUCUUUCUUCAUCUCAUUCAUGUUUUCUCUUCAAAAAAAACCACACAGUUUUCCGACGAGUUUUCCGGUCAACAUUCUCCGUUAACUUCACUCCGGCGAACUAACCGCUUCACUACCUGUUUAGAUCUGAUUAGAUUAGAUUAGAUCAUAACCAAAAUCGAUCAAACCGAAAUUCUUCUUUGCUGAAUUUUUGAUAAAUUGAAUUCAGCUCCUUCAAACGCCGUCGUUUUUAGUCAAUCUUCAUUGCUUCUUGAUAAUUCGAUCUAGGAACUUCUUGACCGUUUCGUGCUUGUGUUUAAUCGAACUUCUGAUUGUUAUUUCUGUUACUGGAGUUUCUUUUUUUUUCUUCAUCGGCGGCGAGUGUUUUUCCGACGACGGAAAUGACGUCGGGGACGAGACAACCAACGUGGAAGGAGAGAGAGAAUAACAAAAGGAGAGAGAGAAGAAGAAGAGCCAUAGCUGCGAAGAUCUUCUCCGGUUUGAGAAUGUACGGUAACUACAAGCUUCCCAAACACUGCGACAACAAUGAAGUUCUCAAAGCUCUCUGUAAUGAAGCCGGUUGGAUCGUUGAACCGGAUGGCACAACGUAUCGUAAGGGAUGCAAGCCUAUGGAGCGAAUGGAUGUGGUAGGUGGUUCUGCAAUGGGAAGCCCAUGUUCAUCUUACCACCCAAGUCCCUGUGCUUCCUACAACCCAAGCCCUGGCUCUUCUUCCUUCCCUAGUCCACGCUCAUCCUCCCAUGCUAUAAAUCCUAAUGGUGAUGCCAAUUCCCUAAUUCCAUGGCUCAAAAACCUCUCAUCUGGAUCAUCAUCAGCAUCCUCUUCCAAGCUUCCGCAGCUUUAUGUUCAUACCGGUUCCAUCAGUGCUCCUGUGACUCCUCCACUUAGCUCUCCAACUGCCCGAUCAUCUCAGACGAAAGCUGACAUCUGGGAGGAUCAGUCCACUCGUCCUGGCUGGGGCGGGCAGCAGUACUCCUUCCUGCCUUCCUCCACUCCUCCAAGCCCAGGUCGCCAAGUUCUUGACCCAGAUUGGUUUGCUGGGAUUAGGAUGCCCCAGGGUGGGCCAACUUCUCCUACAUUUAGCCUAGUGGCUUCUAAUCCAUUUGGCUUCAGGGAAGAGGUUUUCUGUGGCAGUGAUUCCCGCAUGUGGACACCUGGACAAAGUGGGACAUGUUCUCCAGCUAUAGCUGCAGGCUCUGAUCAUACUGCUGACAUACCAAUGGCUGAAGCUGUUUCAGAUGAAUUUGCCUUUGGAAGCAGUGCAGCUGGUUUGGUGAAGCCUUGGGAAGGAGAGAGGAUCCAUGAAGAUUCCGGCUCAGAUGAUUUAGAGCUCACUCUUGGUAGCUCAAAGACCAGGUAAAGUGCUGCAUAAAUGAGCUAUCCAAAAAGAAAGUGCUGCAUAAAUGAAUAGUCAGUGGUCCCCUCAAUAUGAAAUUUGACUCUGUUUGUUCUAUUCUGUAGAAAGGUUAGAAGAGGGAAUUAAGGUGAUGAAGUUGGCUAGUUGCUGUAACGGUUCCAUUGUGUGCUUGUGAAUGCAAUCUCUCUACUCAAGCGUCCUCGUUGUCACUUAAAAGCUGCUAACUCACCGAUUAAAAGAAAAGCUCGCUGAAAGAGCUUAUCCUCCUAUAGUCAGUGGAUCGCAAUUGAACAAAGUUGUAUAGACCAUGUUCACCUUAUUCAAUAAUUUGAGCUUUUCCUUUAUCUUAAAUUAAAGUAUGCCUGUCAUUUUCAUAGAGUGAAAGGAGCGUAAAUAUGGCAAAGCCGAGUGACAUUUAUUUCAAUUUUCAUUAUGAAGAUUGAAGAUAGUAGAAAGUACAUAAGUUCAUUUCUAAUGAUGAUAAGAACAACAAAAAAAAACCAAGAGCUACGGCUACCAAGCAUGUAGGGAAAUAUUAGUUGAAGAUUAUGAAAUGAGAUUUUAUUUUUAAUAAAGAUUACAAAAAUAAAAGACGGACGGGCUUUCAAGGGCAAAAUGGAGAUGCUAUGUAAUUAAAUGUUACGGAGAUGCUAUGUAUUUAAAUGUUACGUUCAAGUUAAGGGAAUUGCUCUUUUUAUUCUUAGGGUUCUUCUCUAUUACCGUAAAAAGAUUAAAAUGUUUUUAGUUA